GUCAGACUUCCAGUAAAAGCAAAUGUCUUCAAACACAACAGUACCUCCACUUAAAUUUUAAUAUUUAAUACCAGCAAAGGUAGAAAUUAAAAAAUAAUGUACCCCCUCCUAUUUACAUAAUUUGCAGUUUCUCUAAAAUCUUUAUAAUACUUGUAUUAAAGUAUUUAAAUACUGACAUUAUCCCAAUGUUAAAUAAUUGUAAAAUCUAUGUAAACUCCUGCCAUUGGAAUGAUUUAUAGUAAGUUGGUCCCAUACCAGAAUCUUGUAUAUAGUACAGUUGUCCCAAGCCACUGUAGCUAUGGGUGACGCUGCGUAUGUUUGUGAAGUACAUUUCCUGAAACCUGCCUGAGCUUCAUAUGAAAUGUUCGCAAUUAUUCGACGGUGGCAAGGCUAUCCAAUGCCAUGUUCCCAGCAACAUAAAUACUUCUUGGUUAUUAAGAUCUUAACUGUUCC